UCCGUAGCCGGUUUGAUCAGUCUUCCGGGAAAUCUGACAGCUCAACUGUUAGGCUUCUGGGGGAUACUGUCAGACUUGGGACCGGGAGAGGUAAGAGGUACUACAGGGGUAGGAGUGAAAUCUUGUAAUCCCUGUGGGACCACCAGUGGCGAAGGCGUCUUACCAGAACGGGUCCGACGGUGAGGGACGAAAGCUGGGGGCACGAACAGGAUUAGAUACCCUGGUAGUCC
rnacentral:rRNA from 1 species